rnacentral:rRNA from 1 species
UACGUAGGGUGCGAGCGUUGUCCGGAAUUACUGGGCGUAAAGAGCUCGUAGGUGGUUUGUCGCGUUGGUCGUGAAAACCGGGGGCUUAACCCUCGGCGUGCGGGCGAUACGGGCAGACUAGAGUUCGGUAGGGGAGACUGGAAUUCCUGGUGUAGCGGUGAAAUGCGCAGAUAUCAGGAGGAACACCGGUGGCGAAGGCGGGUCUCUGGGCCGAUACUGACGCUGAGGAGCGAAAGCGUGGGGAGCGAACAGG